CACGUAGGGCGCAAGCGUUGUCCGGAAUUAUUGGGCGUAAAGAGCUCGUAGGUGGUUUGUUACGUCUGCUGUGAAAACCUAGGGCUUAACCCUGGGCUUGCAGUGGAUACGGGCAGACUAGAGGUAGGUAGGGGAGAAUGGAAUUCCUGGUGUAGCGGUGAAAUGCGUAGAGAUGUGGAGGAACACCAAUGGCGAAGGCAGCCUUCUGGGCCAACACUGACGCUCAUGCACGAAAGCGUGGGGAGCAAACAGG
rnacentral:rRNA from 1 species